rnacentral:rRNA from 1 species
UACGUAGGGUCCGAGCGUUGUCCGGAAUUAUUGGGCGUAAAGGGCUCGUAGGCGGUUUGUCGCGUCGGGAGUGAAAACACGGGGCUUAACCCCGUGCCUGCUUCCGAUACGGGCAGACUAGAGGUAUGCAGGGGAGAACGGAAUUCCUGGUGUAGCGGUGAAAUGCGCAGAUAUCAGGAGGAACACCGGUGGCGAAGGCGGUUCUCUGGGCCGAUACUGACGCUGAGGAGCGAAAGCAUGGGUAGCGAACAGG